UGACCACUUCUUCAAGAAGUUAAGGCCAUACGGACAGCCGGGUCAAAUGCCGA
rnacentral:sRNA from 1 species